rnacentral:rRNA from 1 species
UUUGAUCCUGGCUCAGAACGAACGCUGGCGGCAUGCCUAAUACAUGCAAGUCGAACGAUCCUUUCGGGGAUAGUGGCGCACGGGUGCGUAACGCGUGGGAAUCUGCCCUUGGGUUCGGAAUAACUUCGGGAAACUGAAGCUAAUACCGGAUGAUGACGUAAGUCCAAAGAUUUAUCGCCCAGGGAUGAGCCCGCGUAGGAUUAGCUAGUUGGUGGGGUAAAGGCCUACCAAGGCGACGAUCCUUAGCUGGUCUGAGAGGAUGAUCAGCCACACUGGGACUGAGACACGGCCCAGACUCCUACGGGAGGCAGCAGUAGGGAAUAUUGGACAAUGGGCGAAAGCCUGAUCCAGCAAUGCCGCGUGAGUGAUGAAGGCCUUAGGGUUGUAAAGCUCUUUUACCCGAGAUGAUAAUGACAGUAUCGGGAG